UCAGAUUGAACGCUGGCGGCAGGCCUAACACAUGCAAGUCGAACGGUAACAGGAAACAGCUUGCUGUUUCGCUGACGAGUGGCGGACGGGUGAGUAAUGUCUGGGAAACUGCCUGAUGGAGGGGGAUAACUACUGGAAACGGUAGCUAAUACCGCAUAACGUCGCAAGACCAAAGAGGGGGACCUUCGGGCCUCUUGCCAUCGGAUGUGCCCAGAUGGGAUUAGCUAGUAGGUGGGGUAACGGCUCACCUAGGCGACGAUCCCUAGCUGGUCUGAGAGGAUGACCAGCCACACUGGAACUGAGACACGGUCCAGACUCCUACGGGAGGCAGCAGUGGGGAAUAUUGCACAAUGGGCGCAAGCCUGAUGCAGCCAUGCCGCGUGUAUGAAGAAGGCCUUCGGGUUGUAAAGUACUUUCAGCGGGGAGGAAGGGAGUAAAGUUAAUACCUUUGCUCAUUGACGUUACCCGCAGAAGAAGCACCGGCUAACUCCGUGCCAGCAGCCGCGGUAAUACGGAGGGUGCAAGCGUUAAUCGGAAUUACUGGGCGUAAAGCGCACGCAGGCGGUUUGUUAAGUCAGAUGUGAAAUCCCCGGGCUCAACCUGGGAACUGCAUCUGAUACUGGCAAGCUUGAGUCUCGUAGAGGGGGGUAGAAUUCCAGGUGUAGCGGUGAAAUGCGUAGAGAUCUGGAGGAAUACCGGUGGCGAAGGCGGCCCCCUGGACGAAGACUGACGCUCAGGUGCGAAAGCGUGGGGAGCAAACAGGAUUUGAUACCCUGGUAGUCCACGCCGUAAACGAUGUCGACUUGGAGGUUGUGCCCUUGAGGCGUGGCUUCCGGAGCUAACGCGUUAAGUCGACCGCCUGGGGAGUACGGCCGCAAGGUUAAAACUCAAAUGAAUUGACGGGGGCCCGCACAAGCGGUGGAGCAUGUGGUUUAAUUCGAUGCAACGCGAAGAACCUUACCUGGUCUUGACAUCCACAGAACUUUCCAGAGAUGGAUUGGUGCCUUCGGGAACUGUGAGACAGGUGCUGCAUGGCUGUCGUCAGCUCGUGUUGUGAAAUGUUGGGUUAAGUCCCGCAACGAGCGCAACCCUUAUCCAUUGUUGCCAGCGGUCCGGCCGGGAACUCAAAGGAGACUGCCAGUGAUAAACUGGAGGAAGGUGGGGAUGACGUCAAGUCAUCAUGGCCCUUACGACCAGGGCUACACACGUGCUACAAUGGCGCAUACAAAGAGAAGCGACCUCGCGAGAGCAAGCGGACCUCAUAAAGUGCGUCGUAGUCCGGAUUGGAGUCUGCAACUCGACUCCAUGAAGUCGGAAUCGCUAGUAAUCGUGGAUCAGAAUGCCACGGUGAAUACGUUCCCGGGCCUUGUACACACCGCCCGUCACACCAUGGGAGUGGGUUGCAAAAGAAGUAGGUAGCUUAACCUUCGGGAGGGCGCUUACCACUUUGUGAUUCAUGACUGGGGUGAAGUCGUAACAAGGUAACCGU
rnacentral:rRNA from 1 species